rnacentral:rRNA from 1 species
CGGGAAAAGCUCAAAUUUAAAAUCUGGCAGCUUUGGCUGUCCGAGUUGUAAUCUGGAGAAGCGUCUUCCGCGCUGGACCGUGUACAAGUCUCCUGGAACGGAGCGUCAUAGAGGGUGAGAAUCCCGUCUUUGACACGGACUACCAGUGCUUUGUGAUGCGCUCUCAAA